rnacentral:rRNA from 1 species
GAUGAACGCUGGCGGCGUGCCUAAUACGUGCAAGUCGAGCGAACAGAUAAGGAGCUUGCUCCUUUGACGUUAGCGGCGGACGGGUGAGUAACACGUGGAUAACCUACCUAUAAGACUGGGAUAACUUCGGGAAACCGGAGCUAAUACCGGAUAACAUAUUGAACCGCAUGGUUCAAUAGUGAAAGGCGGCUUUGCUGUCGCUUAUAGAUGGAUCCGCGCCGUAUUAGCUAGUUGGUAAGGUAACGGCUUACCAAGGCAACGAUACGUAGCCGACCUGAGAGGGUGAUCGGCCACACUGGAACUGAGACACGGUCCAGACUCCUACGGGAGGCAGCAGUAGGGAAUCUUCCGCAAUGGGCGAAAGCCUGACGGAGCAACGCCGCGUGAGUGAUGAAGGUCUUCGGAUCGUAAAACUCUGUUAUCAGGGAAGAACAAAUGUGUAAGUAACUGUGCACAUCUUGACGGUACCUGAUCAGAAAGCCACGGCUAACUACGUG